UCGAGAAUUUUUCUCAAUGGGCGAAAGCCUGAAGGAGCGACGCCGCGUGGGGGAUGAAUGGCUUCGGCCCGUAAACCCCUGUCAUUUGUGAACAAACCUCGUGAUUUAACAGAUGACGAGCUGAUUGUAGCGAAAGAGGAAGGGACGGCUAACUCUGUGCCAGCAGCCGCGGUAAUACAGAGGUCCCAAGCGUUGUUCGGAUUCACUGGGCGUAAAGGGUGCGUAGGUGGUUGGGUAAGUCUGAUGUGAAAUCUCCGGGCCUAACCCGGAAACUGCAUCGGAUACUAUUCGACUGGAGGGUUGGAGGGGGGACUGGAAUACUUGGUGUAGCAGUGAAAUGCGUAGAUAUCAAGUGGAACACCAGUGGCGAAGGCGAGUCCCUGGACAACUCCUGACACUGAGGCACGAAAGCUAGGGGAGCAAACAGGAUUAGAUACCCCUGUAGUCCCUGAGCGGGCUGGCAAGGCGCAU
rnacentral:rRNA from 1 species